rnacentral:ncRNA from 1 species
ACCAACCUUCUCUUGGGAUUGUGCUACUGUCCAAUCAGCGGUUCGCAGUGAGGGCCCUGCUCAUUCCUGUCCACAUUCUUGCAUUAGCUGAUGCUUUGCUUGACCCUGGUGCAAUUAUGUGAGGG